rnacentral:misc_RNA from 1 species
GUGAAGAACGUAGCGAAAUGCGAUACUUGGUGUGAAUUGCAGAAUCCCGUGAACCAUCGAGUCUUUGAACGCAAGUUGCGCCCGAAGCCAUUAGGCCGAGGGCACGCCUGCCUGGGCGUCACACGUCGUUGCCCCCCCAUCUACUCCUUCGGGAUUGCGGGGGGCGGAUGAUGGCCUCCCGUGCGCCUCGUCGCGCGGUUGGCCUAAAUGCCAAGUCCUCGGCGACGCACGCCACGACAAUCGGUGGUUGCGAAACCUCGGUUGCCAGUCGUGUGCGGUCGUCGCGCAUCGAGGGCUCGAAAAAAUUGCCGGGCUUCGGCUCGACUUUCAACGCGACCCCAGGUCAGGCGGGGUUACCCGCUGAAUUUAAGCAUAUCAAUAAGCCGAGGA